rnacentral:rRNA from 1 species
UUUGCCGGCCCUGGCGGGGGUCUCAACACCCGACCCCAUUCCGAACUCGGAAGUGAAAGCCCCCAGCGCCGAUGGUACUUCGUCUUAAGACGCGGGAGA